rnacentral:misc_RNA from 1 species
AAGCGGCUGGCACCCGUCCACAACUGCCCUAUCUCGGAUCCUCGGAUUCGCAGAACCCCGCGAAAGAAGUGCAUUCAUUAUGCGACGUUGGGCGAGAGGCGUCUCGCCGGUCCCUUGCCCCCUCGGGGGUCGGGUUCCGAAUCAAAGCGUACACCCCAUUUUCAACCCCACCAAACUCUGAAUCUGAACUCGAAAGGGAGGCUGGCCUACACGGCCGGCCGCCCUCAACCAUAUAACGUUGUAAAACUUUCAGCGACGGAUGUCUUGGCUCCCACAACGAUGAAGAACGCAGCGAAAUGCGAUACGUCUUGCGACUUGCAGAAUCCAGUGAAUCAUCAAAACUUUGAACGCAUCUUGCGCUUCCGGGAUACUCCUGGGAGCAUGCUUGUCGGAGUGUCUGUUGACACCACUCGCCCGUCUCUCUUUUUAGGAAGGGCGUCGGGCGGACUCUGAGUGUUCCGGAGCUCUUCGACGCCUUCGGGUGUCGGGGAAGCGCUCCGAGUGCACCGAAUCUCGUGAACGAAACCUCUCUUCUGUCUGUGGCCUAGGUUGCGCAGAGUUGUUGACGGCGCUCGCACCCGGUCAAACGGGUUCGGCGACUCUCGGCUCGAUAAACGCGUGGCUUGGCGUCCCUUUUGGUGAGGGGUUUACUGUUUUUCCGGUGGGGAAAUUUAAUUUAUUUCCCUCCGUGUUUUACUACUUUCGU